UACGGGAGGGGCAGUCUUGUCGGAAUUACUGGGCGUAAAGGGCUCGUAGGUGGCCAACUAAGUCAGACGUGAAAUCCCUCAGCUUAACUGGGGAACUGCGUCUGAUACUGGAUGGCUUGAGUUUGGGAGAGGGAUGCGGAAUUCCAGGUGUAGCGGUGAAAUGCGUAGAUAUCUGGAGGAACACCGGUGGCGAAGGCGGCAUCCUGGACCAACACUGACACUGAGGAGCGAAAGCCAGGGGAGCAAACGGG
rnacentral:rRNA from 1 species